rnacentral:rRNA from 1 species
UAAAUACAACUUUCAACAACGGAUCUCUUGGCUCUCGCAUCGAUGAAGAACGCAGCGAAAUGCGAUAAGUAAUGUGAAUUGCAGAAUUCAGUGAAUCAUCGAAUCUUUGAACGCACCUUGCGCUCCUUGGUAUUCCGAGGAGCAUGCCUGUUUGAGUGU